UCUAACCCUCUCUCCCUCUCCCGUCUAAGGACCCCAUCCGUCUAGAUGGGCCCCUCCAACAGUAUGCCUUGGAGAACCUCGUUGAAGGCCCGCCUGCAAAAGCUGGCGUCCUGGAUAUUUCAGGCAUCUUUACAACACAAGAAAAAACAGGCUACAUGCCUAAAUCACUGGAUAUCCUAGCCUGUGAGUAGAGAUGGGGUCUGGAAAAUCAGCAGCAUCUCCAUCAUUGAUGUCUAUGGCUCCAUCUCAAGAUGUUGUUGCUGAUGUAUCAAUUUUCAGGAUGAGGUGGUGUCAGAAAAUAAGGCAGUUUGGUGGGAUUCUCGAGGAAAAGUUGAAGGAAUAUGCACUUAUGGAUGGGCAUUGUUUUAUAGAGAUCCUUUCCACUUACUGAAGAAGAGUAUCUACUAUGGCUUGAUGAUGUUGCAAACACAUUGAAAUGCUGGGGAGUUGUCUCACAUAUUCAGAAUAGGCUCGCCAAAUUGAAGGAGCGGCCU